rnacentral:lncRNA from 1 species
AUCUAUAUAUCUAUAUAUAUAAUAUAUGAAUAAAAUGUGGGACACGUGUCAAGUGGUGGUGCAACCACAAUAGAUUUUUGGCGGGAAAAAUGUGAGAAACCUUAUAUUUUCACACGGGAUCCGCAUGUGGUAUAUCCAUACCCGUUUUUUAGCCCCGGGUAUAAAAACUAUCUAAUUAGACUAGAUCUCUCAAACACAUCAUUCUUCUCAUUCACGCUUUCAUUCAAGCGUACAAAACCCUAAUUUUGUUCAUCGCCGACAAGCAAAUCUACCACCAUCUCUUUCGAUUUCAUUAGCAUCUGCAUUGUUUUGGGUUUUAUCUCAUCUUUUGUGACAACCAAUCUAUGGUGCUGAGUUGAUUGAUUCAGUUCUGGAUUUCCAACGAGCGAUAUUGAAGUAGAGAUCUCUAAAGCAAUGGUGUGGUAACUCAAGUGGCGGCGGCGGUGGUGGUGUAAUUAUUUCGAUUCAACCAACCAUCUGAUUGGGGGCUCUUUAUGGAAUGAAAUAUUAACUGACUUCAAUGUUAAGUUUACUGAAAGCUUUUGAUGGGAGGCAUUAGCAUAAAAGCUUCUGGUGGUCAUUGAUAUCUUUUAGUGUUGGUAAUAUCAUAUUCCUUUUCAUUCCUAAAUUUUCUGAUGAGCUGAAGGAGGAAAAGCUGCCCGUUUACCUGGACUAUUUUUAAGGAUUUGAAUGGGAAUUUAGAUUAGUGAGUCGGAAGAGACAAUGUUUGAUUUGUUAUAUGAUUCCAGAGUAAAAAAAAGUAUGGGGGACCACAAACGUGGGCGACAUUGGCUUAAAUAAAAUCAACUGGGGUUCCGCUGUUGGAUAUGUAUCGUGCUGAAUCGUCAGGACAACAUGGAACUUGAUGAAGUUGCGCGUUUGGACAAAGAAAGUAAAAUACGCCCCAGUCCUGAAAUUGGCAUACUCUGUUGAUGGGGAAAUGCAUAGCAUCUCAAUAGAUUACAUAGUGAUAUGCUCAGGUGGUCAGAGAAAGAGAUACUACAGGCCAGUUUCUCUCUUUUCCUAUGUUGCAUAUAUGUUUUCUGCUUGGGGUGUUUUAGGUUUUAACAUCCAGGCCUCAUUGUACAUAGGCAAAUCUGUCAUGCAUAUUUGGUUACUGUUGUGUCCGCAUGGGGUUAUGUUUUUCUUAAACAAUAGCUGAUAAAAACAUGUAAUUGUAGGUGAGAUGGUGGUUGGUCCAAGACCCUUUUUAAUGGUUGAGAUAUCAACGAGACUAACUAGCUCAACUAGAUACCGAAAUGUGAAGAUAGUUUUUUGAACAGAUUCAAUUUUUUAUCCCCUUUCAGGACUUCCAGAGUGAUUGAUUUUUUCGUUUCUUAAUGGAUAAUCAAGGAAACCCAGAUUAAAAGCACAUGUCUCUAGAAAGAGAGAACUCUUAUUUUACAUGUCACCCGAAUGUAUUGUUCGCAUUCGCAUUUACAGUCAGAAGCUGGAUGUCUAAUGCUUUACUUAUUUAUUGAUCAAUAUGCAUAGAAAUAUCCCAUCAAGUAGCAUCUGGUCCUUCAAGUCACCUGUUUUAUAACUUAUAAACAUGUUUUGUUGUGCAGCAUCGAGAUAACAUUAAAAAGUAUGGCAAGAUGCCUCUUGGACUACCAUCAGAUGGUAAUAAGAAGAAGCCAUCUCAGGAUCAUCAUCUUGAGGACAGGUUCGCCAAGAUGCGUCUUACACCAUCUGAUGAAAUUCCACUUCCUGUAUAUACCAAGGUUAAGAAGGCAGUUGACAUCAUGAGUGGUCCUAAGGAAGCCAGUAGUUAUCUCGAUGAUUUGGAAAGAGCUGAGUAUGGAAUUCGCGUGGCUACUAAGGUCUAUAGAUGUUUUCUUCCACUUGGCUGGAAAUAUGAUCGAGAGAGUGCUAGCUUCUUUAUUACCGGCUAUGACAAGAUUUAUACAAGGAAGGACGGGAAAAAAAUCAUUAUGCGUUUAGCUUCAUAAAUGUCAACAAACUAUGUUUUUUAAUCAAUGCAUGUCUUGUAGUUUUCCAGUCACAUUCAAUAACCGACAACAGGCCAUAGAAACUAGAAAGGUGGGUACUUUUCACAUGAAUGAGGUUCUAGCCAAGAAAGGUGGGUACUUUUCACCUGAUUCGCCAAGUGGAAGUGCAUCACUACUGCGGCCAUCUGAACGAAGACACGUGACAAUGUCUGGUCUACGACUGGCCCGAUGCCGAUGCGCGGUUGAUCGGGCUGGAAUAAAUAGUAACUGAAGAACAGUUUUUAACUCUUCCGGACACCAAAAAACCGAUGUGGCAUAGCCACGAGUGUAUGGUGAAGAGCGGCGUGCUCUUCCUUCCCGGUGUUCCCGGUCCGGUUGAACGAAAAGAUCUUGAGAAAGUGGCGAAAACAUAUGGGAAGACCAUACACUUUUGGCAGGUGGAUAGAGGUGAUGAACUGCCGCUCGGGUUACCACAGGGUUUAACAGGGUUUAACGAAGAUAAAGCGAUGUAGAAGUGUAUCUUCAGUACACGCAAAAAUCUCUUGAAAUGCUCAUCAAGAUCUCAAAGAUUUGAGAGCUUUAAAGACCAAAGGAUUAGAACAAAUUUAUAUUGUAUUUUUUGAUAUCGUAUAUUGUGAAUAUUAAAUUCAGUUACUAGCAUGUUUUAAUAAACCUUUGGAAGGAGUCACCUUUGGUAUAAAUAUAGCAAUUGUUU